GUACUCGCUUUGGCAGCACAUAUACUAAAACUGGAAUGAUACAGAGAAGAUUAGCAUGGCCCCUGCACAAGGAUAAUAGACAAAUUGGUGAAGUGCUCCAUAUUUUU